CCUACGGGAGGCAGCAGUGGGGAAUAUUGCACAAUGGGCGCAAGCCUGAUGCAGCCAUGCCGCGUGUAUGAAGAAGGCCUUCGGGUUGUAAAGUACUUUCAGUGGGGAGGAAGGCGAUGAGGUUAAUAGCCUCGUCGAUUGACGUUACCCGCAGAAGAAGCACCGGCUAACUCCGUGCCAGCAGCCGCGGUAAUACGGAGGGUGCAAGCGUUAAUCGGAAUUACUGGGCGUAAAGCGCACGCAGGCGGUCUGUCAAGUCGGAUGUGAAAUCCCCGGGCUCAACCUGGGAACUGCAUUCGAAACUGGCAGACUAGAGUCUUGUAGAGGGGGGUAGAAUUCCAGGUGUAGCGGUGAAAUGCGUAGAGAUCUGGAGGAAUACCGGUGGCGAAGGCGGCCCCCUGGACAAAGACUGACGCUCAGGUGCGAAAGCGUGGGGAGCAAACAGGAUUAGAUACCCGUGUAGUC
rnacentral:rRNA from 1 species